CUUUUAUGUAGGAUCAGUCAGCUAGUAUGGAAAAAUACAUAAUGAAAAAAAUAGCUUUUACAAGAAAAUACGUAUUUCUUUGCUCCUGGUUCUCCACAGACAUAUUCAAGUGCUGAACUUUAUUCAGUAUAAGCAGUGUCAGGCUGCUAUGUGUCAUGGAUCUUUUCAGGAGAUCUGGCAGCUGACACAGUGUCCUGUCUCCAGUUGCUUGUCUGCGUCCUCGUGCUGCUCCAUCUGUUUUCCUUGUUGGGAAACCAAACAGGCUCAGAAACUGCUUUUAUGUUGUUGUUGCUAGGCUCUUUUUUAGCCGUAUCAGUUUCACAGCCUGAUGAGCUGUGUGACUACCCAAACAAGCAUGCCACAACAAGGGAGAGGGCACUGCAGCGAUGGCAGCGAGCAGCCAGGACUGCUAAGGCAGUGCUGCAGCACCAUGGCUGAAACCCUCCGUUACUCCCGUGGAGCUACUUGCUGCACGAAACUGAAACUUCGCUGGUGUUGGCCAACCUGGAGCAAGACCCUAAGUGGCUUUAUGCUGCUGUGCACAGGCAGGAGCAAUCAAGAUCUCGAAUGUACAGCUCUCCAGGCUGAGCUCUCUGUGCUCCCGAUGUUGAGCAGUUGCUGCCUUCUGAGAACCACGCAGCAGUAGCUGCUCAUCACAACUAAUGCAUACAGAUGUCAUUUAAAAGCCACUUAGGGAGAUGCAUAGAAAAGCCUUCCCUAGUUACACUCUGAGAAUGCAGCUCUGCGUACACUGCCACAGCAACAGACAAAAUGAGCUUGAUAUUUGGGACAGAGACAGAUCCCUAUAUGACACUUAACCUCUGUCAAACUCUGAUAGAUAUCCUAGAUUUAUUUAUUUAUUUAUUUAUUAAAAUAUAACUUGGAAAAUGACUUCUGGCUUUGCAUGAAAAGCUCAAUAUCUUUUUUUUUUUUUUCUCCAAGAAUAUUUAUUUCAGUUGAUAACUUUACGCAGAAAAACGGUAUUUUUAUUGCAGUAGUGUCUAGAAUGCCAGUCAAGCUGACGGUAUUGUUGUAUCAUCUAAAAUGAAUGACAGACAGAAACACUCUUCUACUACAUGAUAUACUCUAAGAACUUGUCUUCAUGGAAUAUUUUAGUAGUUAUACUGAUGUAACUCCAGAACACCCACUUGCUGAGCUGGCUGUGCUUGUGGAACAGGUCACUGCUGCUAGAUGAUCUCCUCUGACCAUUUUCAGAUGUGCUAGCUGAGCCAUUUGUGAGAAUGCUCCUUUGUCCUCACAGUCAGAUAGAGUUAACAAAAAUGUAUUAUUCAAAACAUCUAAGCUAACCCAGUUUCUUUGACCAAAACACUUAGGGAGUGACUGCUCAUGCAAGUAGCUAAGCAAAGGUUGUGGUAAUCUCUGGCAGAAAGGCAGGGAAGAACAGCAGGGAACAAGCCUUGCAGAGCACAUGUUUUUCAUCAAAUGUACCUAGAUGAAGAGAUACAGUAAUAUUAUGGAAGUGCUUUAAAUUUCUAUCUUAUCUAGUAUAUGAAUUUUAACCAGUACAAUGGCACUUAGGGAACGUGAAAUAUACAGGGAAAGGGGAAGCAACAGAGAACAGAACAGUUGAUAAAGUAUCAAGAAAUGUGUUUCUUGCCUUUCGGGAAGCUCUCAGAGACUGACUUUAAGAGUUGUGCUAAAGUAUGA
rnacentral:lncRNA from 1 species